CGGAAAAAAGAUGACGACGGCCGGCAUCGAUCCUCGCUCCUACCCUUUCCAUUUGUAACAGAGUGAGAGUGAGAGGUGGAAAGCGAGAAAAGUGAGAGCUCUUCGCUCGCGGCGCCUUCUUCUCUCUCUCUCUCUAUCUCUCUCAUCAUUCUCCCCCACUCUUUUCUCCGAUCUGAAACCCACCCCUCAGGCGGACGAGAGAGAAAGCGAAAUGCGAUCGCGGCAAUCCCUACAAGAAUCCGACGGCGGACGUCCCGCAUUCUUUACCUGAUUAGCUUCGGCAUCAUCACUUCUCCCCGGGCUGCGGCGAUGGGGAGCGUCUCCUCCGAGGAGGCGGAGGAAGAGUACGCCUCCGACCAGCCGAACGAUGGCGGGGGCAGCCACAGCCACAGCCCCAGCGCCAAGGUGCCCGGGUCCGACUCCUCCAUCGAUUUGUCUGGCCGCCGAUUCCCCGUCGCCGGCGUCCCGCUGCAUCCCGGAGGGGAUGUGCUCUUCUGGGAGGCGAACGUGGAGGAGAGGGCGACGGAUUUCUCCGAGGUGGAGAUGAUGAAGGAGAGAUUUGCCAAGCUGCUCCUUGGCGAAGACAUGUCGGGCGGUGCCAAAGGCGUCUGCACCGCUCUCGCGAUCUCAAACGCCAUCACGAAUCUCUCCGCUGCAGUUUUUGGGGAAUUAUGGAGAUUGGAGCCCCUGGCGCCGCAGAAGAAGACAAUGUGGCGAAGGGAGAUGGAUUGGCUCUUGAGCGUAAGUGAUUAUAUCGUGGAACUCGUCCCCUCCAUCCAAGAGUUACCCGGCGGCAGGUCGUUCGAGGUGAUGGUCUCUUGUCACCGCACUGAUCUCCAGAUGAACCUCCCAGCGCUCAAGAAGCUCGACGCAAUGCUUCUUGGCAUGCUGGAUGGAUUCUGCAAUACUGAGUUCUGGUAUGUAGACCGGGGAUUCCUGGUCACUGAUGCUGAUGAAGAUGCAAGCAAGACUUGUCCAUCUUCCUCGUUCAGGAGGGUGUCUUCGAGGCAGGAGGAAAAAUGGUGGUUACCUUGUCCGGGAGUUCCACCAACUGGUCUGUCAGAGGAGGCAAGGAAGAGAUUGCAGCUGUCCAGGGAUUGUGCGAAUCAGAUACUGAAGGCAGCCAUGGCAAUCAAUAGUGCAGUGCUCUCUGAGAUGGAGACUCCUGAUGUCUACUUUGAAACAUUACCUAAGUAUGGGAAAACCUGUUUAGGUGACAUCAUCUACCGCUACAUAACCGCUGAUUCAUUUUCACCUGAGUGUCUACUCGACUGCUUAGAACUUUCAUCUGAGCACCAUAUUCUAGAAAUAGCGAAUAGGAUUGAGGCGGCAAUACAUGUUUGGCGGCUGAAGGGCCAAAGCAAGCAGUCUCAAUCGAAGGCAAAGAACUCAUGGAGUGGAAAGUUCAUUGGACUUGUUGGUGACACGGAAAGAUUUCUGUUCCUUGCAGAACGGGGUGAGGGUCUUUUGCAGAGCUUACGACUUCGUUACCCUGCUCUUCCACAGACUAUUCUUGAUAUGAACAAGAUUCAGUACAAUAAGGAUGUAGGGCAGUCUAUACUUGAGAGCUACUCGAGGGUUAUGGAGAGUUUGGCAUUUAAUAUCGUGGCAAGGAUUGAUGACUUGAUCUUUGUGGAUGAUGCUACAAAGAAUUGUGCAGCUCCGGAAUCCAUUUCUAUAUUUAACCGGGGAGGAGUGGGAGGAAUUCCAAUUCAUAAGAGGAUAUCGCCCAGCCCAUUCUCGUUUCAGAAUACGCCUUCUGCCUCACCAUUUUGUCCUUCCACUCCACUUAUAGGAAGUCCAGUAACAGUGCCAUCUUCCUUGAGCAAGGGGAGUCGACAAGAACAACAAGAGGGGAAGGUGGAGAGGCUUAUUUCUGGCAAUGCAGAUGAGGUAUGGUCAUAUACUAGGGAACUAUGUUCGAGAAAAGAGACAGGUGAUGCCCCUGAAAGGAACUGACAUGAAAUAAAAAGUUAGUCGAUUGGCCUCGUGAAAGAUGGAUCUGGCAGCCAUCUAUCACAUGGAAAGCUUUGACGAUGAGACAUGAGCCGAUGGUUGUCUGAUUGAUGGGCUUAUUCCUGUACAGAAGUAACCGAUAUCAAGUUUCGCUCUUUACACUUUAGAUGCAGGUAUUCAAAACAACAUCACCGGUGAAACUGUUCAUGAAAUUGAUAUGCUAAGCCUUGCAGAAAUGUUGUGCUUGAAAGAUUGAACUUCAUAGCAUGGCUGGGUCAAGUAAUGGUUACUACAACGUCUGAAUGGGGUGUAAAGAAUGCUAACCUCUGCAAAUCGUGAGAGUUAUAGUGAAUGUUUAGUUGUAUUGUGAUGUAUGGCCUCAGACUUGGGUUUGUCGCACGACUUUGGAAACUUUCGGAUUAAGACCUUUAGUUGAUGCUUUAACUAAUAAUCUUUGUUUUCUUGGACAAAAAAUUGUGAUGUCUAACAGAAAAGUCCAAGAAAUCUGUUCAUUGGCUGAUGCCAUCCCCAUCCUCCCUAAAACAAUUACACCAUUUAGCCCUAAACAAUUUUGUGCCACUGUAUUCAUUGAUAAUUACAAAUUGCAAUGUCUUGAGCAUCAAGUCGGUGCCCAACAGCCUUUUGUCAA